UGAACAUUUGGAAUCGAUUCAGGAGAUGAAGGCAGCCAUGGCAGAACAACCAGAACAAAAGAGGCUUCCAGCGCUGCCAUGCGACUGUGGGAUGCGCAUCAAGUGAGAAGCCGCCACCAGAGUGCUUCCCACCCCACCAGGGACACCUGGUUGCCUGUCCCGGCUAGUCUGUGUCACACACCUGCUAGAUAUCAUGGACAGAAGAGAGGAAGAGGAAACGGCUCAGCAAAUUAGAUGACUCAAAAAGGUGGUUGCCUGGUGAUUCAGAAGACUGAAUGCUAGAGCUGGCUGUUUCUUCAUUUCUUAUUCCACUGACUCCUACGAGGACACCAGCUGAGGCAUACCUUGUCAUAUCUAUGAAAGAAAAAUUUAUGUGCAUCUAAAGUAGAGACUAGAAGGGAACUCAGGAGGAACAGAAUCUUUGAAAAGCCCCUAUCUUGGUGUCCUAAUGAUUCUUAUUAAUGCUUAGGUUUUUGAGGCCACGGAGCCACCACUGAAUCCUGUCUCUGUUGUGUAGAAACUGUGUGAUUUGGGAUGAGUUGUUUAACCUCUUCAUCAAAAACAGAACCGCUCCCCACACCACUGCCACCAAAAGCAAACCUUUAUUGGCACUUGAUGAGGACCUGACUGGGUUGAGAACGCGCCCAAGCUUCGGGACCCCUGUGCCGACGCUGUUGCAGUGCCCCAUCCCUCCCAGUCUUGAGUGGGUAAGAAUGUGCCCCUACCUCCAGCUCAAGUGGCUGAAUACAGAGCAGUUACAGCCAUGGAGGCCUAAGUAGAAACCUGCAGGGGUUCGGCCUGGGCCUCCCAGGGCACCCUUUUGGCUCCUCAUGUGAGUGACAUCCCGAGGUGCAGCACCUGUCUUGUGCUCCUGAGGCGGAGGCGGCAGCAAUCACGGGUCCGUCAUGCCUGACAUGUCUGAAGUGCCGCGCCGACGUCCCCAGUCAGCUUCUCGGGCCUCUGGAGUAGGGACAAAGCGCCAGCCCUCCUCUACUGAGCCAUGUGUCAGGCGUUCCUUGGCUUGCAGCAGAAGCUGGUCUUCCUUCCUGCUGCAGAAUGUACCAUGAUUCUCUCCAGUCUCCAGAUGGACAGACUGAAGCUCAGGAUGUUAAACAUUUGGAUUUGCUCAGCCAGUCAGUGAUAAAAUGGAUCUCAGAUCUCCAAGGCUGGCUUCAGAACCUGCGCUCUCAGUCACUUACCUUGUGGCAUUUGUGGGGAGGAAAUGAAAUGACUUAAGUAAAGCACAUCGGCAUUAGCUCGGUAUGUGGCAUGUGAGAGGUUGUUGAAAUGUUGUGAUCUUUCCCACAAUCACCACUCCGUGUUCGUGCUUACCAAUCUAUCCUUGGGUUUUGAUUCUCAUUCAGUUAUUCUCCAUUCUGUCCUUUUCUCCGAAAAGGUUAGUAUUUGCUUUCCAUGCUUAAACAAUUGAGUGUAAUGGAUAUAGUAGGUAGUCUGUAUGUUUGUUGAAUGAGUAAAUGAGUAAUUCUCUUAAAAGAAUAUUUCCUAAAGAGCCAGGCAUGGUGGCACUAGGGAGGCGCCUGAGACAGGAGGAUCACCAUGAGUUUGAGGCCAAUCUGGGCUAUAUAGUGAGUUAAAGGCCAGCCUGAAGUGCAUAGUGAGACCGUGCCUCAAAACAAACAAACAAAAACCACCCAAGAAUAUUUCUUAAGCAUCAGUCUGAGAUUGCUGCAUACACUUUGAUAAGGAAGCUGCAAUGUUGUAUGUUAGCAAAGCACAGAGAAACCAGACUUCCUGGGUUCAGUUUUCAACUCUCCCGCUGGCUGAAGAGCUGUGUGACAUGGGCCGUGACUUAGCCUGAGGACUGCACUCUCUGUCUGUAGGAUGGAAAUGAUCAUCUGCAUUGCAUCAGAGUAUUGUUAGCUCUAACUGAAAUACCACUUCUGAAAGUUUUCAGAGGGACUGGUGGAGCAGUCAAUAAACAUUAGCUUUAUCGCAAUAAUUAGUUAACUGUUUUUACUAACUUAUAUGCACCCUACCAAAAGUGGUUCCAGUGGAUGAAGCAGAGUUGAAAACAAGAUCCUUUGGGUGGCUGAUGCAGAAAGUCAAAUUUGAUCCAUGAGGAGUUCCCGCAUCCAAACACAGCAGAAUAAAAAUAAAAAUGUGUGUGUCCUUGCUGAGUAGCUGAUACCUACAUGCUGUUUUCCAUUACGAAAUAUAAAUUCACCUUGAGUUUUGGUGACUGCAUUUUAAAAACAAAAAGGAAAUAGUUAUGUAUUCUUAUCUUCACAAAUCGUAAAAUACAUUUUGCACCUGCCUGGCUCCCUUUUCUGUUUUCAGAUCUGUGUAUCAAUUUGUUUGAGGGCAGUCAAUUCUGCUUCAUCAGAAAAAGCCUUGUCA
ensembl:lncRNA